CAACUGAUUCAAUACUUAAAUAAUUAUUGAUAAUAAUAAGGCGUAGUAAUUAAAUAAUAAACCUUAUUCUCAUCUGCAACUUACGUCCACAUGUGCGUGUGAGAUGAGAAUAUAAAACCAAAGAACAUCAGAAUGUAACCAUAUAAAAAAGUGGAACAUCAAACUGGAAUAAAAAUAGAAAUUUGUAAAUGGCCAGGUUCCUUCAUUAUAAACGAUUGAAGAAGUUCACAGGCAUCCUACCAAAAGCAGGAGUCCACAAUUGUAACAACAGUUUCACAAGGCGAAAAGACUGGAGGAAGAAAAAGGAAAUCAUAAGGAAAGGCCAACUGGAAGAAAGUUUAAUUCCAGUGGAACAGCCAGACAGGAAAAUAUAUCGCCCUGAACAAAAUUUUCAAAUACAAGAAAUAGCAGAGGAACAUUUCAUCUCGUGAAGCUCAAGACGCUGGAUCAGCAUUGUGCCAUCCCUUUGUGCAAGGUGGAAUGCUCAUGAAUUCAUCAAACUCCUUUACAUGGACAUCACAACACUUCCACCCUCUCAACCGAUCAUGAAAAACAGCAGGCCCAGGAUGGUAACUACAGGCAGUUUCAUGAUUAUCUUUUUCUUUGAAAGUUUUACCACACCCCUGAUUCCUGCAGGUUUGAGGCUGGUUUAUGUCUACUACCAUCUUUGGAGGUGCAGAGGACCCUUGCGUACCCACAUUGCUUCUAGCAAGUGGAGCUUGCUUUGCUUGGGAACCAUGAUCUGAGCAAAAGAAACCCUGCUUGCACCUAGGACAAGAUUCCUUAGAGGACAAGUUGGUUGUGGUAGCUGGAGCGGGAGGAGGAAUUGGAUUCUUUGGACUUGCAGUAGCCUUUGCUAACACAGGUUUCUCAGUUGUGUGUUUACCUGUCUUACAUCCAGGAAUUUCUAAAAAUAAGGUGAAAUCAUGACUUCUUUUCUUGCAACAACUCCAUUCUUUCAUUCCAUCAUGGAAAAUAGGCUGGAAAAUGCAUUCAAGCAAAGUGACAACAGCAUAUCAAAAUUAGUGAUAGAAGGAAGGUUUAAAGAGGAGCAGGAACUGGAACUUUUUUUUUUUUUUUAUGGAAAAGAACUAAAUAAAUCAGACUAAAGAUUUUGACUUACUCCCUGACAAUACAUAUGCGCAUUUGCAGCGAUACACAGCCCAACCAUGUAAAGUUAAAAAGCUAAUUAGCAUAAUCCAAAAAUACUUUAAAUUCAGUAUUCAAUUACAAAAGUAAAUAAAAGGGCAAUGCAAGCAAUUGGUUUCACGAUCAGCAGUGAUAAUGAUAACACAUAAAAAUAAAUUAUGUAGACUCUUAAAACAAAAAGGAGGGAAAUGUAAUUGAUGUUUCUGGAAACCCAGAUCUAUGUAAAAUACAAUUUCAACAACUAGCAACAGAAAAGACAACCAUCUACACAGUUUCAACUUUAAAGUACAAUGCUGAACUGUAUAAUCUAUGCUAUGUAGAAAACCUAAACUCAUCAAGAAUUGAAAAAAAAUGGUGCAUUGUACACUUUAAGAAUGAGUCUCUUGUAAAUCUAAGCUUUUACAUAUCCACAUAUUCAUCAAAGUUUUCUGCCUUGCUAUUUGAGGAACCUAAAUUACAUGUCCACAUUGGGGAGUUUCUGUGCUUGACAACUUAGUCCAUGAAAAAGGGAAAUCACAGAGAUUACAAACAUCAUCUCAAAUUCUCAAUAGCCAGAUGUUGUUAUGCAUCAAUUACAUAGUUGAAGAGCCAAGUGAAUUAUAGCCAGCAACCAACACGAUACAGAAGAGAGAUCCGUCAACUUUGAUCUCUACUCGUUAAUUAGAAGGCAAUUGAAAGACUAGAUAACUUGUCUAAUUAGGCGAUGUACCAAAAUCAUGAACAUAAUAGCCGAGGAUGAGAUCAAUCUCGCAGAUUUGUGAAUGAAACAAAGAAGGUCCUAUUACUCCAAUUAAUAGUUGAUUCCAACCAUUUCAAACAAGAAUUAAAACUAACAGUUCAUGCCAACCAUCUAAAAACGGAAAGUAGCUUGGUGAAGCUGCUCACGUCCAUUAUUUUAAACAAAUAAAUAAAUAAAAGAGACCAAGGAAUCCUCAUUGGUACUUAGUUAACCUAAUUGAAACGCAGUAAUUCGUGAUUCAUCAAUUAUGAACUGUAUGAAGCUUCAAAACAAUUUCAAUGGUUUACAGAAACAGAAAGGAAAAGAUGCAACCAAAUACAAAAGGUAAGGCAUACCGAAUCAUGGUAUUGACAAGAACCUUCAGGAUUAUCGUCUUCGGUGAAGGUGGCGUUGCAUCCGAUUCGCUGGCAACGAAGCCUAACAACCUCCCGCUCCAUUCUCUCCCUCUCUCUCUCAAGUCGCAGUAGGUGUUAGAAGACUGCGAAGAAUCGACUAGAAUCUGAACGCACUUUAUUUUAUGUAAAUUGGGCGGCUUUGGGAAAUAGAAUUGAUUCUUCUUUUUAACAGCAUUAUCUCAUGCAUCAAUCACCGAAACCAGGAUUUCUGAAAUGGGCCAAGCCCAAGAUACAAUUGGACAACCAAAUGAACCUAUGUAUUACUUCAUAGCAAACAAUACUCACAUUCAUUUCUACUCACAGAAAGAAUACUACUAAAAUAAGUCAAGAAGUUGAUAACCCGUGUUCUCUACUUCCUGUUCAUCGGCUAUGAGGUUCUCUUAUCAAUUCCUACAUAGUGCCUAAUUGCUGAACUUAAAGGGUUAAAUUCUGAUUCUGUUGAUAAAAGCAGCAUAGAUUUGUUAAAUAUGUCUUAGUUUACUUUUUCGCUGUGAUUGAGAAAGGAAGAACUAUCUGCUGUUGUUGACGACAUGCCGUAGGAUGUUCACCAAAGAUGCCAUAUAUUCUUGACAUCAGACGAUUUCCACGUCAUUCACAUACUCAACAGAGAGCGUGCUCUCCACAAGUUUAACACCCACUUUUCAAUCCUGAUAAACUUUCACCACCUCCUAACCUCCUAUGUUAGGAAUUGGAGCUACUCAAUUCACCUGAGACAGAGAGACCUAUUUACCCCCAUUUCAAUGGCGACACUGGCGAGUACGUUAGGUUCUGGUUUCUGUUUCAGCAAAUUGGGAGUCGAAGGACUCAAGCCAACCAGUCAAUUCAGAUGCUAGACCAAGACGCAUGGUAGCGGUGAGAGCUGAAGCUCAAGCUAUCAACCCAGAAAUUAGAAAGAACGAGGAGAAGGUGGUGGACUCCGUUGUCGUCGCUGAGCUUUCUAAGCCCCUCACAGCUUAUUGCAGAUGUUGGAUGUCAGGAACUUUUCCUCUAUGUGAUGGAAGCCAUGUAAAGCACAACAAAGCUACUGGUGACAAUGUUGGACCUUUGCUUUUGAAAAAGCAGAAAGAGUAACUGAUCUUUCUUUUUUUAAUUGUUGAUUGCCAUGUAAAACUUUUAACUCUAGAAAUUCUUAGUGUUGUUUUGUGAUGAUGUAAGCUCACUUCUUUUGGAUUAGGUUGAGUUCUCUAGUUUCCUAUUGCAAAACCACCAUUAUUUAAUAAAACUUUGUAGUGAGACGAUAUCAUUUUUUUAUUUGUUGUGACUUUGCUGGCUUAUUGUCAUUGCUUGCCUUAACUAGAUGUGGCAGUUACUUCUUCUCCAUAGGGAAGAACAAGUCUGGUUGAAUGAUUUUGUGGAUCGUAUUUGUGUUAAAAAUCUAGGGUAUAAGGUUUAAAGGAGAUUACCUGAAAUGACUUCAGCAAUGAACUUAGAAUGUCUUACCAAGUAUUAAAUUAGUGCUUUUUCAUUUUUGUGAACAAAAAUGGGAGGAAGCAAUCAUUGUCAAUUUGAAGUUGAGGCAUCCCAUUGUUUUCAAGUCUCUAUCUUUGGAAGAGUAAAUAGGCAUAAAUGUAUUUCAAUCUGAGAUAUUCUUCCUAGAGUUAAAAGGUUGUAUUUUCCUAAAUUCUUUUGAGUAUUAGCGCAAUCUUGUUAAUAAGCAAGGUCAGAAAUAAGAUUCUCUACUAGUUGUGUUGUCACCAUUUAUCCUCAUGCUGAAUGUAUAGCACAGGUUUAUUUUCUCUUGAUCAAUUAAGAUUCUAAGUCAAAAAACUGAGAAAAGAACAAGGAUUUUUUGAACCUUUCAACUGCUAAUCAGUUGUCCCGUCCUGUUUUUCUUAAGCAAUGGUACAACUGAACUGUUACUUCUCUUUGCUUCAUAUGGAUAAAACAUGCUUUACUGCAGUUUUAACAUUAGUGUUCUAUGUUGUUUACAUGUUUGGAAAUAAAAUAUAUGCUUAUUGUCUUUUGAUCAGUGAUAAAUCUUAUUCCUGAAACCCUCUAUUAGGAUUAAUGAGUGAUGGA
rnacentral:misc_RNA from 1 species